GUAUUGUGGGGACCACCUCCUCGAGAGGUGUUGGGCAUUAGCCAGCCACGACGGCUUGCACGUGAGAACUAGACCCCUUCGUGCAGACACCAAGCCAGCCGUCGCAGCCAGCCAGGCCGCUUUUUUGG
rnacentral:ncRNA from 2 species